UACGGAGGGUGCAAGCGUUAAUCGGAAUUACUGGGCGUAAAGCGUGCGCAGGCGGUUUUGUAAGUCUGACGUGAAAUCCCCGGGCUCAACCUGGGAAUUGCGUUGGAGACUGCAAGGCUGGAGUCUGGCAGAGGGGGGUAGAAUUCCACGUGUAGCAGUGAAAUGCGUAGAGAUGUGGAGGAACACCGAUGGCGAAGGCAGCCCCCUGGGUCAAGACUGACGCUCAUGCACGAAAGCGUGGGGAGCAAACAGA
rnacentral:rRNA from 1 species